rnacentral:tRNA from 1 species
GCGGGUGUAGCUUAGUGGCAAAGCGUCUGCUUCCCAAGCAGGUGACGGGAGUUCGAUUCUCCUCGCCCGCU